rnacentral:SRP_RNA from 1 species
GCUGGGCACAGUGGCACAUGCCUGUAGUUCCAGCUACUCGGGAGGCUGAGGCUGGAGGAUCGCUUGAGCCCAGGAGUUCUGGGCUGUAAUGCGCUAUGCCAAUCGGGUGUCUGCACUAAGUUCGACAUCAAUAUGGUAGCCUCCUGGCAGCGAGAAACCACCAGGUUACCUAAGAGGGGGUGAACCGGCCCAGAUUGGAAACGGAUCAGGCCAAAACUUCCGUGCUGAUGAGUAGUGGGAUUGUGCCUGUGAAUAGACACUGCGCUCCAGCCUGGGCUACAUAGCAAGACCUUGUCUCU